GACGAACGCUGGCGGCGUGCUUAACACAUGCAAGUCGAGCGGUAAGGCCCUUUCGGGGGUACGACGAGCGGCGAACGGGUGAGUAACACGUGGGUGACCUGCCCUUAGCUCUGGGAUAAGCCUGGGAAACUGGGUCUAAUACCGGAUAUGACUCCAUGACGCAUGUUGUGGGGUGGAAAGCCUUGUGCGGCUAGGGAUGGGCCCGCGGCCUAUCAGCUUGUUGGUGGGGUGAUGGCCUACCAAGGCGACGACGGGUAGCCGGCCUGAGAGGGCGACCGGCCACACUGGGGACCGAGACACGGCCCAGACUCCUACGGGAGGGCAGCAGUGGGGAAUCUUGCGCAAUGGGCGAAAGCCUGACGCAGCGACGCCGCGU
rnacentral:rRNA from 1 species